rnacentral:piRNA from 1 species
UACUCCCACAGAUAGCUCAUGUUCUC